GUGCUCGCUUUGGCAGCACAUAUGCUAAAAUUGGAACAAUACAGAGAAGAUUAAAAUGGCCCCUGUGCAAGGAUUUUAUGCAUGUUCUGUUGAUCUCUAUUUGGUU